UGAUUGACAGAAAUUAAUUACAACAUAAAUUCCAGUUCUGGUUAUUUUCAUUCAAAUAAAAAAUAACAAUAUGUAGCUUGGGAGAUACUUUUAGAUUUUGCACUGCAAAAAUAAAUAGGUUCCAGUGACAUAAAAUAUGGUAUUCUGAACAAAAUCAAUUAUGAGGUUGUGAUUUAUAUAAUAUAGCGAGACUUCCAGACUACUGGCAACAUGGUUUCUGGCCACAAUAAUAUAAAGGUGACUUACGACGCAUCAGAAUGGGCGAAAUUUAAAAAUGGACAAGGCAUAUUAUUUAACACCCUACUCACUUUCUUUAUUGUUCUCGCAUUGUACUUGACUACGAGGAACUGGCUUGAAACCGGGCCCGAGGAGGUGGACGUGGGUGCACUGCAUGUGUCACAUAAUCGCUAUCGAAAGAAGCAAUCCCCGACGCGUCGACAUAGUCCCUGCUGCUCCUGUCCCUCCGUGCCUAGACACCGAUGAUCCCAAGCUACUAUUGUCUUCUCUGACCCAAACUACAUCAUUUGUCUUCGCUCAUCUGUCCUUCUAAUUUAUCACUAAACACAAACUGGUGGAUAUUAAAUUACAUUGCAGUCUUAGCGUGUUUCCAUCAGAUAUCCUCUCUGUGACUUCAUUAGAAACCUAAGCUUUGAAAAUGAUAGCGAGAUCACCAGACUAACGACGACAUGUUUGACAAUAUAAAGGUGACUUACGAUGCUAAAGAAUGGGAGAAUUUUAAAAAUAGUCAAGGCAUAUUGUACCAUACUUCAGUCACUUUAGUUAUUGUCAUCGUAUUAUACUUACUUACAUGGCGCUGGCUUGAACCCUCGCCGGAGCACAGUGAUUCGGAAAUCGAACUUUAUACUCAGGAAAGCUUAUUAUCAGAAAAUAAUUAUUAAAAAUAUGGAUCGCAUUUAUUAUAUCUCCAUUUGUUAUACUAUAAUAUAUAAAGAGUUUAGAAAAAAUGAUUUAUUUUUUUAUGUUUGGAAGAAAACACUCAAUUUAAAAAAUCUUUUUUUAAUGAUGUAAUACCUACCUACCUAUAUGUUAGAAUGCUAAACAACCCAUAUUUUUAAUAAUUAUUUUUUAACAUUAACCCCGUUAUUCUUAAACAAGCUAUACUUUUAAGCUGAAGUAUGUUUUGUCACUAACGCACUUUACAGAAUGUGGCUUUGUCAAAUCGAGAUAAAACCUUAUAGUAUGCUUUGUGAAUAACAGGGCAAGUUUCUAUCAGUAUGGAGCUCAAAUUUCGAGCCACUGUACGGAGGCAAGAAGUUACACUACAUAAGUAAGACACAAUCGCUGUCAAAAGCAUACCGCGGCGGCAAGAUUUCGAAAACAGUACCUUAUGAAACUGAUCUUAAUUGUGAACACACAGGCCUCUGGUCAGCGAAGUGAUCUAUAUUGGUACUAGUUAUGCACAGAAAAAAAUUGCAAUAUGGGCAAUACCUAACAACGAAACUAAAACCAAAUAAACACAGUCACAUGACAACAACCCAAAUAGCAAUCAUUAGAGUCAAUCAGUGCGCAGGCACCUAAUUUUCCAUCAAGGGAACAAAAUAAAGUAUUUUAUCAUUUUGA